rnacentral:misc_RNA from 1 species
UAACCAUUCUCAAGCUACACAAUUCUUAGGAAGCGUGUGGCAUGGAACUGAGUGUUCCCGGUAUGAGUGCCUCGGCGCUGUAACUGGGAGACUUGAAACUGAUCUCGCGGGAGCAGUGGUCAUUAAGGAUCAGCUCGUUGCAGGUGUACUAGUUGGAGGCGUCGCAAGACGUUUUCAUUCUUAGCACCAAUACGUAACGUUCAGAUCUGACAACUGUCACCGACGAACGCAGGAACUUGGAUGCGGGCGCAAGCCCAACUCUUAAU